GGUUGGAUGACCGAGCGGUUAAGGUGCUGUGUUAAGGAGGUGAAUAAAAACCCCCCCAAACCGCAGUCCGAAAGGGCGUGGGUUCGAAUCCCACUCCAAUCA